rnacentral:rRNA from 1 species
CCUACGGGAGGCAGCAGUGAGGAAUAUUGGUCAAUGGGCGUAAGCCUGAACCAGCCAAGUCGCGUGAGGGAUGAAGGUUCAAUGGAUCGUAAACCUCUUUUGUCAGGGAAUAAAGAGUGGGACGCGUCCUGUUAUGUGUGUACCUUAUGAAUAAGGAUCGGCUAACUCCGUGCCAGCAGCCGCGGUAAUACGGAGGAUGCGAGCGUUAUCCGGAUUUAUUGGGUUUAAAGGGUGCGAAGGCGGCCUUUUAAGUCAGCGGUCAAAGUCGGUGGCUCAACCACAGACUGGCCGUUGAAACUGGGAGGCUUGAGUUGGUUUGAGGCAGGCGGAAUGCGUGGUGUAGCGGUGAAAUGCUUAGAUAUCACGCAGAACCCCGAUUGCGAAGGCAGCCUGCCAAGCCAAGACUGACGCUGAUGCACGAAAGCGUGGGGAUCAAACAGGAUUAGAUACCCGAGUAGUC